GAGAAAUCUCUCAUUCAUUUCUACAAUUCUCACAGUAGUCCUGUUUAAAUAGGUUUUCAUUAUUGAAUUGAAAAAAAUAUAUAAUUUUUUUUUAGUGUAUGAAGAAGAUGAGAUUGAAAAGAAAAUUGUUCUACCUGGUCCAUGUCGAAGCUGGGAUGAUCUAUUCAGGUUUAUGUGUGUGGUCAAUGCUUGGACUGUUUCACAACCAGUGCCUACAAUGCAGGAUGGCAAUUUACUUCCAGAAAAAAUUUUCAUGCCACAAAAGCCAAGACGUACUACAUUUAAUAAAACAUUCAAAUGAUGUUACUUUAUUGAUAUUAACUUAUGUAAUUAUAUUACCAAGAUUGUUAUUUUUCUCUUGCAGUAUAAAUUACUAAAUAAAAUCUGUUAAAUGUGAUUGUGAAACAAAAUUUGUAAAAACUGUGGUAGAGGCAUGGAGAGAGAGAGAGGACUUGUAAGCCAAGAUGCAAGAAACAAGCUGGGGACCUAACCUGCCUAUCAGUUUACCUUUUCUAUUUCAAAACAUAUUUUCAGAAGUGCCACUAUUUUCAUUGUCAAGUUAUUGAUCAAAUCAAGCUUGAAUUGCAUUUUUAGGGCUAUUUCCUUUUUUUGUAUUGUGUUUUAUAUUAUAAUUUUGUAUUAUAUAUUUCUGCAAAUUUGAAGCCCAAUUCCAUUCAUAUAAUACUUAUUAAAUUCUCCAUGUAUAUGUUUGCAGAACAUACUCCCAAACUUAGUAGAAUUACAAAACACAUGACUUUAUUUGAUAAGAGUUCAUGGAUAAUCAGUUCAGGGAAUAUCAUAUUAACUAGUUUUAGAUAAUAGGGAUUAUCAUUAAGAAAAAACAAGAAUAUCUUUUAAAAUGAGAAAGCUUCUAAUAACUUAAAAUAUGUAAGGAUCUAAAUCAAUUGUAUAAAAAAUUAAGCCAUUUCCCAAUUGAUGAAUGGGCAAGGGACACGAAUAGGCAAUUUUCAGAUAAAAAAAUCAAAACUACCAAUGAAGAAAAGAAACACAUGAAAAAGCAUUCUAAAUCUCUUAUAAUUGGAGAAAUGCACAUCAAAACAACCCUGAGGUACCACCGCACACCUAGCAGAUUGACUAACAUGACAGCAAAGUAAAGUAACGAAUGUUGGAGGGGAUGUGGCAAAGUGGGGACAUUAAUGAUCACAAAGAAUCUGCUCAAGUUGCUAAGUAAACAAAGGAUUCUAAGAGGUGGAGGUGAGGCAGGGAACAUGUUCCAGGCAUGGCAAAUAGCUUUUACAAAGGCUCAGAGAAGAGAGGGAAUGUCAUGUGAGGACACAGCAUGGUGACCACCCAAAUCAAACCCUUUAACCAUAGGUGUCCUUUCUCUCUCUCUCCCUCUCCCUCUCUCCCUCCUUCACUAAUGAUCUCAUUAGCUCCCAUGGUUUUCAUCCCCAUCUCAAUGCUGAUGAUUCUCAAAUUUACCUAUCCUGUUCCAAUCCUCUGCUGCCUCCAAUCUCAAACUGGGUGUCAGGUAAUGUUUUAAGUUUAAUAUAUCCAAAAUAAUUCACCUUUACCUUGUUCAGUUCUUGAGGUUUGCAACCUACAAGUCAAAUUGGACUCUCUCUCUCUCUCUCUCCCCCUCUCUUGUCCCCUAAGCCCUAAUCCAAUUUGUUGCCAAGACUUGUUAAGAUUUCAUCUUUGCAGCCUCUCAAGAAUAUCUUCCCUUCUCUCUGGCACUACCUCCAUUCUACUUUCACUUGGACUGUUGCAUUGGCUGCUGGUGAAUCUACCAGCCUCAAGUCUCUCCCUGCAUCAAUCCAUCCUCCUUUCAGCCCUCAAAAGUCAUUUUUAAAAAAAGUUCAGAUUCCAUCAUGUCAUCCCUUUAUUCAAUAAAAUUCAGUGACUUCCUAUUGUAUCCA
rnacentral:lncRNA from 1 species